UGGACCAGAAUCUCCAGAAGCUGCCCUACAUCUCUUUUUUCUUGGAUUGGUUUCACAAAAGAGCUCUUAGUGACCUGUGAGUCAAUCACACCAUCUCUUGGCCCUGCACCAACAUUGUAUCUAUGAAGAGGGACCCCUGCCAAGGACCGUGAAGCAGAAAGCUGAGAUUAUGAAAGUGGUCCUCCAAACAGAAUGUGGCUGGUACCUUUAAGAGAAGGAGGCCAUCCUAGGAAGGGGUAUGAACCAGACCAGACAGAAGGAAGAGUAUCUUAUUUCAUCUGCACAGAACAAAAGAGUUCUUUCCCAGCACUU
ensembl:lncRNA